rnacentral:rRNA from 1 species
ACGCUGGCGGCAGGCCUAACACAUGCAAGUCGAACGGUAGCACAGAGAGCUUGCUCUCGGGUGACGAGUGGCGGACGGGUGAGUAAUGUCUGGGAAACUGCCUGAUGGAGGGGGAUAACUACUGGAAACGGUAGCUAAUACCGCAUAACGUCGCAAGACCAAAGAGGGGGACCUUCGGGCCUCUUGCCAUCAGAUGUGCCCAGAUGGGAUUAGCUAGUAGGUGGGGUAACGGCUCACCUAGGCGACGAUCCCUAGCUGGUCUGAGAGGAUGACCAGCCACACUGGAACUGAGACACGGUCCAGACUCCUACGGGAGGCAGCAGUGGGGAAUAUUGCACAAUGGGCGCAAGCCUGAUGCAGCCAUGCCGCGUGUAUGAAGAAGGCCUUCGGGUUGUAAAGUACUUUCAGCGGGGAGGAAGGUGUUGUGGUUAAUAACCGCAGCAAUUGACGUUACCCGCAGAAGAAGCACCGGCUAACUCCGUGCCAGCAGCCGCGGUAAUACGGAGGGUGCAAGCGUUAAUCGGAAUUACUGGGCGUAAAGCGCACGCAGGCGGUCUGUCAAGUCGGAUGUGAAAUCCCCGGGCUCAACCUGGGAACUGCAUUCGAAACUGGCAGGCUAGAGUCUUGUAGAGGGGGGUAGAAUUCCAGGUGUAGCGGUGAAAUGCGUAGAGAUCUGGAGGAAUACCGGUGGCGAAGGCGGCCACCUGGACAAAGACUGACGCUCAGGUGCGAAAGCGUGGGGAGCAAACAGGAUUAGAUACCUGGUAGUCCACGCCGUAAACGAUGUCGACUUGGAGGUUGUGCCCUUGAGGCGUGGCUUCCGGAGCUAACGCGUUAAGUCGACCGCCUGGGGAGUACGGCCGCAAGGUUAAAACUCAAAUGAAUUGACGGGGGCCCGCACAAGCGGUGGAGCAUGUGGUUUAAUUCGAUGCAACGCGAAGAACCUUACCUACUCUUGACAUCCAGAGAACUUUCCAGAGAUGGAUUGGUGCCUUCGGGAACUCUGAGACAGGUGCUGCAUGGCUGUCGUCAGCUCGUGUUGUGAAAUGUUGGGUUAAGUCCCGCAACGAGCGCAACCCUUAUCCUUUGUUGCCAGCGGUUAGGCCGGGAACUCAAAGGAGACUGCCAGUGAUAAACUGGAGGAAGGUGGGGAUGACGUCAAGUCAUCAUGGCCCUUACGAGUAGGGCUACACACGUGCUACAAUGGCGCAUACAAAGAGAAGCGACCUCGCGAGAGCAAGCGGACCUCAUAAAGUGCGUCGUAGUCCGGAUUGGAGUCUGCAACUCGACUCCAUGAAGUCGGAAUCGCUAGUAAUCGUAGAUCAGAAUGCUACGGUGAAUACGUUCCCGGGCCUUGUACACACCGCCCGUCACACCAUGGGAGUGGGUUGCAAAAGAAGUAGGUAGCUUAACCUU